rnacentral:rRNA from 1 species
UUCGCAAUGCCCGAAAGGGUGACGAAGCGACGCCGCGUGUGGGAAGAAGGCCUUCGGGUUGUAAACCGCUGUCGGGAGUUAGGAAAUGCAAGGAUGUUAAUAGCAUUCUUGCUUGACUAAGGCUCCGGAGGAAGCCACGGCUAACUCUGUGCCAGCAGCCGCGGUAAUACAGAGGCGGCAAGCGUUGUUCGGAAUUAUUGGGCGUAAAGAGCACGUAGGCGGCUGUGUAAGUCGGUUGUGAAAGCCUUCCGCUUAACGGAAGAACGGCAUCCGAUACUGCAUAGCUUGAGUGCGGGAGGGGAGAGUGGAACUUCUGGUGGAGCGGUGAAAUGCGUAGAUAUCAGAAGGAACACCGGCGGCGAAGGCGACUCUCUGGUCCGUAACUGACGCUGAGUGUGCGAAAGCUAGGGGAGCAAACGGGAUUAGAUACCCCGGUAGUCCUAGCCGUAAACGAUGGGCACUAAGUAGAGGGGUUUUA